rnacentral:rRNA from 1 species
GAUGAACGCUAGCUACAGGCUUAACACAUGCAAGUCGCAGGGUAACAUGAGGAAGGCUUGCUUUCCUUGAUGACGACUGGCGCACGGGUGAGUAACGCGUAUCCAACCUUCCCAUAACUACGGGAUAACCCGUUGAAAGACGGCCUAAUACCGUAUGAUAUCGUUUGCUGACAUCAAAUAACGAUUAAAGGUUUAGCGGUUAUGGAUGGGGAUGCGUCUGAUUAGCUUGUUGGCGGGGUAACGGCCCACCAAGGCGACGAUCAGUAGGGGUUCUGAGAGGAAGGUCCCCCACAUUGGAACUGAGACACGGUCCAAACUCCUACGGGAGGCAGCAGUGAGGAAUAUUGGUCAAUGGGCGAGAGCCUGAACCAGCCAAGUAGCGUGCAGGACGACGGCCCUAUGGGUUGUAAACUGCUUUUAUGUGGGGAUAAAGUGCGUGACGUGUCAUGCAUUGCAGGUACCACAUGAAUAAGGACCGGCUAAUUCCGUG